rnacentral:lncRNA from 1 species
GCAUCUGCCAUGAGAGCAACAGAGAGAAAAGCUGGAGGGGAUGAGAAGCAAGAGAGACCAAUCGGCAGCGACUGUGCCUUCUUAGCGAGUAAAUCAGCACAGACAUCUCUUUAUCUACAGAUGUGAGCUAUGCGGACAUCCCGAGAUUGAGCAAGGAGCACUUUGAAGGCUGGAAGCAAGGAGGAGCUCGCAUCUCGCUCACAAGACUGGUUCUGCACAAAACAAAAAACACAGAGAGAGUUCGUUUCAACUAAGAGUUUUUUAAUACCAAAUCGAAGGCUAAUUUAAUGGCCACAUACUACCCUCAAAUUUCGGCCAAGGUAAUCGAGCAUUUUUCCAGAUUUAGCAUGAACCCCGCAGUGAUCCUACCCUGGUUAUCACGGAUCAGACCACCACAGCUUGUCGCACUCGACAGAAGGGAGACAAAUCCAUCAAUGUUCAACUUGGACCAGUCCUCUAAGGGGGUUCGUGCUAAUCGUUGCACGACCUGCUUUCAAAAUAUAGAGACACUCUUCGUAAUUCCUAGUCAGGUAAGUAGCUCGAUUGAACAAACUGUCUAGAUUGGAGUGAGUUUGUUAGAAGUUACAGUUAGUAAUAAAAAGAAAAAGCCAACUAGUUCCAUUUCUCUUGUGAAGACUCCAAAGAUUUUCUUUCAGCCAGGUUUGGAAAUCCAACUAAAAGAAAUGGUUCUAAGAAUUUCUGUUGGUUGUUUAUCAAGCUUUUCCAAAUUUUGCUGAUGAAGGGACAGUCAUGCAUAACAUAGAGCAAGGUUUUAGUGGAGUUCUAACAUCUGGGGCAGUCAGCAACGUCGAUAAGUCUCUUUUUCGCUCUAUUUUCAUUAGUCAAAACAGC